AAAUUGAAGAGUUUGAUCAUGGCUCAGAUUGAACGCUGGCGGCAGGCCUAACACAUGCAAGUCGAACGGUAACAGGAAUCAGCUUGCUGAUUUGCUGACGAGUGGCGGACGGGUGAGUAAUGUCUGGGAAACUGCCUGAUGGAGGGGGAUAACUACUGGAAACGGUAGCUAAUACCGCAUAACGUCGCAAGACCAAAGAGGGGGACCUUCGGGCCUCUUGCCAUCGGAUGUGCCCAGAUGGGAUUAGCUAGUAGGUGGGGUAACGGCUCACCUAGGCGACGAUCCCUAGCUGGUCUGAGAGGAUGACCAGCCACACUGGAACUGAGA
rnacentral:rRNA from 1 species